GAAACCCAGUGUGAUUCGUCACACUAUCGUUAACUGAAUACAUAGGUUAACGAGGCGAACCGGGGGAACUGAAACAUCUAAGUACCCCGAGGAAAAGAAAUCAACCGAGAUUCCCCCAGUAGCGGCGAGCGAACGGGGAGCAGCCCAGAGUCUGAAUCAGCUUGUGUGUUAGUGGAACGGUCUGGAAAGUCCGACGGUACAGGGUGAUAGUCCCGUACACCAAAAUGCACAGGCUGUGAACUCGAAGAGUAGGGCGGGACACGUGGUAUCCUGUCUGAAUAUGGGGGGACCAUCCUCCAAGGCUAAAUACUCCUGACUGACCGAUAGUGAACCAGUACCGUGAGGGAAAGGCGAAAAGAACCCCGGCGAGGGGAGUGAAAAAGAACCUGAAACCGUGUACGUACAAGCAGUGGGAGCACCUUUAUGGUGUGACUGCGUACCUUUUGUAUAAUGGGUCAGCGACUUAUAUUCUGUAGCAAGGUUAACCGUAUAGGGGAGCCGCAGGGAAACCGAGUCUUAACUGGGCGUUAAGUUGCAGGGUAUAGACCCGAAACCCGGUGAUCUAGCCAUGGGCAGGUUGAAGGUUGGGUAACACUAACUGGAGGACCGAACCGACUAAUGUUGAAAAAUUAGCGGAUGACUUGUGGCUGGGGGUGAAAGGCCAAUCAAACCGGGAGAUAGCUGGUUCUCCCCGAAAGCUAUUUAGGUAGCGCCUCGUGAAUUCAUCUUCGGGGGUAGAGCACUGUUUCGGCUAGGGGGUCAUCCCGACUUACCAACCCGAUGCAAACUACGAAUACCGAAGAAUGUUAUCACGGGAGACACACGGCGGGUGCUAACGUCCGUCGUGAAGAGGGAAACAACCCAGACCGCCAGCUAAGGUCCCAAAGUCACAGUUAAGUGGGAAACGAUGUGGGAAGGCACAGACAGCCAGGAUGUUGGCUUAGAAGCAGCCAUCAUUUAAAGAAAGCGUAAUAGCUCACUGGUCGAGUCGGCCUGCGCGGAAGAUGUAACGGGGCUAAACUGUGCACCGAAGCUGCGGCAGCGACACUAUGUGUUGUUGGGUAGGGGAGCG
rnacentral:rRNA from 1 species